AUGACACCGUUGCACCUGCCCGUUACACUAGAAGAAGGGGGCCACUCGUCAGUGUCUCAUGUGUCUCACGGCAUGGACGCUGGUGCCCGACGAGGGAGGCAGGCGAGGUCAACGGCGAGCAGCGCCGCUCCAGCUCCGGCGAGCGCUGUCGCUGGAUCCAAGACGAGGUCGAAAUCCCCCAAGUCGUGCGCCGCUCAGGAGCCGCAUCAAGCGAACCCGCAGCCGGUGUGUGACGCCGCCCCAUCUGCGUCGGCCGCCUCCCGCGCACGGACUGGCUCUGCGUCCGCCGUUAGAGCAGCAGCUAGCCAGCCGCGAGGCACCUCCUGCUCGGGGUGGUGGCGCAAUGGAGCAGCAACCGCUCCCAGGUCUCCGGAGUCGCCCUCGCCCACCUCCUUGAUCCGCUCCCAGGUGGCGGCGCCGGAGCCCCUCCCGUCGAGGUCGCCAUGCCGGCGGCGCACGUGCCCGGCGAGGCGUGCCCGGAGCCCGAGCUGCCGGAGGGAUUCCCGCCAGCGACGCGCCCAAUCUGUGCCCGCCGGCGGGAUCCUGCGCAUGCACGGGCCGGCCCCGGUGCCCGCAGCCGAGAUCCGGUGA
rnacentral:rRNA from 1 species